AGUGAACGCUGGCGGUAGGCCUAACACAUGCAAGUCGAACGGCAGCACAAUAAGAGCUUGCUCUUACGGGUGGCGAGUGGCGGACGGGUGAGGCAUACAUCGGAAUCUACUUUUUCGUGGGGGAUAACGUAGGGAAACUUACGCUACUACCGCAUACGACCUACGGGUGAAAGCAGGGGAUCUUCGGACCUUGCGCGAUUGAAUGAGCCGAUGUCGGAUUAGCUAGUUGGCGGGGUAAAGGCCCACCAAGGCGACGCUCCGUAGCUGGUCUGAGAGGAUGAUCGGCCACACUGGAACUGAGACACGGUCCAGACUCCUACGGGAGGCAGCAGUGGGGAAUAUUGGACAAUGGGCGCAAGCCUGACGCAGCCAUGCCGCGUGGGUGAAGAAGGCCUUCGGGUUGUAAAGCCCUUUUAUUGGGGAAGAACAGCAGCAGAUUAAUCCCCCGCUGUUCUGACGGUACCCAAAGAAUAAGCACCGGCUAACUUCGUG
rnacentral:rRNA from 1 species